UGGGGAAUAUUGCACAAUGGGCGCAAGCCUGAUGCAGCCAUGCCGCGUGUAUGAAGAAGGCCUUCGGGUUGUAAAGUACUUUCAGCGAGGAGGAAGGCGUUGUGGUUAAUAACCGCAACGAUUGACGUUACUCGCAGAAGAAGCACCGGCUAACUCCGUGCCAGCAGCCGCGGUAAUACGGAGGGAGCCAGCGUUAAUCGGAAUUACUGGGCGUAAAGCGCACGCAGGCGGUCUGUCAAGUCGGAUGUGAAAUCCCCGGGCUCAACCUGGGAACUGCAUCCGAAACUGGCAGGCUAGAGUCUUGUAGAGGGGGGUAGAAUUCCAGGUGUAGCGGUGAAAUGCGUAGAGAUCUGGAGGAAUACCGGUGGCGAAGGCGGCCCCCUGGACAAAGACUGACGCUCAGGUGCGAAAGCGUGGGGAGCAAACA
rnacentral:rRNA from 1 species